rnacentral:lncRNA from 1 species
GCUUUGCUCGUGUUUGCUUUUUCUGAGCAGCGCCCAGGACUUCUGCUUUGGUGCGUCCAAAUUCCUAAUGGGCCAAGUGCCCCAAUUAGAGAUGAUUUUGUGAACAUGUGCAGCUCCUGAGAUCUGAUGCAAGGAUGAUUCAGGAGAAGCCUUGGUGUCCUUCAGCUGGUGGUGGGCAAGUGACCUGGUGGCCGGCGUGCUUGCUCUGGGCUCAGAGGGGCUUUGCUUGGGAGGAGGGACUGUCACAGUACUCCAAGCCCCUCCCCCAGUUGGAUCUUCUGAACUGUUAAGAAAAAGAGAAAUAAACCCAAAAUGGCCUGCAAGACAGCAACCAAGACUUAAUUAUAGUUUCAGCCCCUCCUAGAAUCGUGACCCUGAAACAAUAAUCUGAAAUUCCUGUUGCCCUGUGAGAAACUUCCCAUUUCGCACAACCCCUCGACCUGGAAUGGAACGUCCUUCAGUUGUUAGACCGGAUGCUGUCCCCAUUCGUGAAUCACCUAAUAAAGCCAAUUAGAUCUUCAAAUUUACUCUCGGUAGAAUUUUGGGUUUUAACAGAACACAGCAGGCCUUCAAAGGGACUUGUUUGCUGGGUAAUGCCUGUUCACCGAGUGGAUCCCGGGCAGGGGGAGCCAGUGGUGCUGUACAGGACCGGCCUGUUCACAUCAAUGUAUGGUUGCUGGUGUUCAAGCGCUGGGAGACGAGUACCUGGGGGUUAUUACGUCAUUCUCUCUACUUGGAAUAUGCUUCAAAUUUCCAAAGUUAAAAAUUGGGUUUUGUUUUUUUUUUCCAAUGGAAGAGACAUUUUUUGUGGACCAGAGACCUGAGAGAGAAGCAGAAAGAAGUGUUCAGCAACGUGCUGGGGGCCCGCAUCCUAGGAAUGAAUCAUGCCAGUGAUUGGUUUGGGGUGGCCAUGUGACCCAGGUCUGGCCAGUGAAAUGGAAGGGAAAGUCUUUGGGGUAGAGCUGGACCACUGGGAAAUAUUUUCCUCUCUGACAAACUAAAGAGUGACGUUAGGAGAAGACUUUCUUUGCUUCAUGUUUUGCAUGCUGUCAUGUGUUUUCAAGCACCCAUGGCCUCUUUUUUCUCUCUAAUCUUACCUUCUAUGACAUUCCUCCUCCAUCACACCAAUCCAGCUACUGGUCUCCUUGCUUUCCUAGAACAUACUAAGAACACACCUACCUCAGGGCCUUUGCACUUGCUAUUCCCCCCCACCUAGAACACCCUUCCUCCAGAUCUUCACUGGAUUUUUCUUUCACAUCUUCAGGUCUUUGUUCAAAUAUCAGCUUCUCAGUGAGGAUAUUUUAAAAAUAUCCUUAUCCUUCUCAUUACCUUUAUUCUUUU